ACCUUUGUACACAACACCAAAACUACCAGCACCAAUCUUGUUCUCUAGGGAGAAACUGUUGGUAGCUGCUAAUAGAUCAGAAAACGAGAAUUCUUCCGCUCUCUCUGCAUACUUUCCCGAGGUUCCACUCCUCUGACGACCAAAUAAACCCGAGGUUCCACUCCUCUGUCGACCAAACAAACCACCUGUCCCACUCCUCUGACGGCUCCAUCCUCUAGAACCCUGACGCCUAAUAGUGGAAGACCUUGAAGGCGGACUUCCAUUUGAAUUGGGAGCAUUAGAAUUAGUCCCAUUAAUAGUAGGUUGCACAGAAUUAUGAAUUUUCUUGUGCCCAAAACAAGCCCCAGUCCACAAACAAUAAAUUAUAGCACAAACAGAAAGCAGAGCACCAGCAGAUCCAACAAUAGCAAAUGCCAAUAAACCCUUAGAAAUCUCCUUACUUGGCGAAGACGGUGCAUCAUCACCCAAUGUAGGUGGUGAAACUGGCGGAAUCCUCUCCACGAGAUCACACCGGCUGCAUAUANUUAUUAGCAAUUUGGAAUAAUGAAUCAUUAAACUGUAUCAUUAUGUACAGACAUCUUGAACAAGCACAAAUAAACAUAUGAUUACAUGGAAAUAGAAACCAGAGGUUUCAAACUCAACUUUGAAGAAAAAAAUUAGUGUCAUAAGCCCUUUGUUGUGUCUCAGUGUUCACAAAAUCCUAACCUAGCUCAUGUUAGUUCUAAAGCCCUAAACCCUAUCUCUUACGGUCAGCAAGUAUACUGUAAAACGAAAAUGACUAAAGAAUCAAAUUGAAUAUCAAAGAAGUGGAUAAUUUACUCUGAAACGAUGGAGAUCGAACCACUAGAGAUGCUGCCAUGGCUAUCUUCACAUAAGAACAAUGCACGUUCCAAAUUAGAAACAAUGUCAGUCAUGGUUGGUCUGUCCUUUCCUUCCAAACUCACGCAAUGCAUGGCAGUGUAUCCCACCAGCUCUACUGCCUCAGCUUCAUUCAGCUGUGGCAGUCCAACUCUCGAGUCCAAAAUCUUCAUCAAUUCUCCUGACAUGAUGGCUGGAACAGCGAAGUCUACCAGGCUUGUUGGUUCACCUUCAUCUUUGUCGCUCUUGAAUAUGGCUCUUUUUCCAGUUAGAAGUUCUAGCAAUACCACACCAAGACCAUAGACAUCACUCUUUGCAGUUAAGACAUUCAGGCCAUAAUACUCAGGGUCAAUGUAGCCAACUGUCCCAGCUGCCUUAGUCGGUCUAUAAUCAUGGUCAGGCUCUGGACCAUUUAACGACAAUCCAAAAUCAGAUACUCUUGCAGUCCAGUUGGCAUCCAGCAAAAUGUUUGAAGACUUGAUGUCCCUAUGGAUUAUAGGUGGAACUGCAUAAUUGUGGAGAUACUCGAUGCCACGAGCAGCAUCUAGUGAGAUCUUGAUCCUCAUUUUCCAAGAAUUUAGUAAGGCGCUAUUGUUUCCUACAUUAUUCUUAUGCAAAUGAUCAUGAAGUGCACCAUUCUUCAUGUAAUCAUACACCAAAAGCUUCUCAUCCCCCUCUUCGCAGUAACCAACAAGCCUGACCAAGUGCUUGUGAUGCAGCCUAGACAAGAAUGCCAAUUCUGAAUCAAAAGCACUCUCUUUCUCUUGAAACUUCUUCAAAAUUGUACUUGUAUCUCCCCUUUUAAUCGCAACCUCGCGACCAUCUGGUAACUUACCUUUGUACACAACACCAAAACUACCAGCACCAAUCUUGUUCUCUAGGGAGAAACUGUUGGUAGCUGCUAAUAGAUCAGAAAACGAGAAUUCUUCCGCUCUCUCUGCAUACUUUCCCGAGGUUCCACUCCUCUGACGACCAAAUAAACCCGAGGUUCCACUCCUCUGUCGACCAAACAAACCACCUGUCCCACUCCUCUGACGGCUCCAUCCUCUAGAACCCUGACGCCUAAUAGUGGAAGACCUUGAAGGCGGACUUCCAUUUGAAUUGGGAGCAUUAGAAUUAGUCCCAUUAAUAGUAGGUUGCACAGAAUUAUGAAUUUUCUUGUGCCCAAAACAAGCCCCAGUCCACAAACAAUAAAUUAUAGCACAAACAGAAAGCAGAGCACCAGCAGAUCCAACAAUAGCAAAUGCCAAUAAACCCUUAGAAAUCUCCUUACUUGGCGAAGACGGUGCAUCAUCACCCAAUGUAGGUGGUGAAACUGGCGGAAUCCUCUCCACGAGAUCACACCGGCUGCAUAUAUUACCAUUUCCAGAACACAACGUCUCGGACUGCGGAUACACACCACACUCGCAUUCCUCCUCAACACAAGACCCUGGCAAAAUGUUCCCCAACGAAAC
rnacentral:lncRNA from 1 species